UACGGAGGGGGCUAGCGUUGUUCGGAAUCACUGGGCGUAAAGCGCACGUAGGCGGAUCAGCAAGUCAGGGGUGAAAUCCCGGGGCUCAACCUCGGAACUGCCUUUGAAACUGCUGGUCUUGAGUUCGAGAGAGGUGAGUGGAAUUCCUAGUGUAGAGGUGAAAUUCGUAGAUAUUAGGAAGAACACCAGUGGCGAAGGCGGCUCACUGGCUCGAGACUGACGCUGAGGUGCGAAAGCGUGGGGAGCAAACAGG
rnacentral:misc_RNA from 1 species